rnacentral:rRNA from 1 species
UACGGAGGGUGCAAGCGUUGUUCGGAAUCACUGGGCGUAAAGGGCGUGUAGGCGGUCCGCUAAGUCUGAUGUGAAAGCCCGAGGCUUACCCUCGGAAGUGCAUUGGAGACUGGCGGACUGGAGUCCCGGAGAGGAGGGUGGAAUUCCUGGUGUAGCGGUGAAAUGCGUAGAGAUCGGGAGGAACAUCAGUGGCGAAGGCGGCCAUCUGGACAGAUAUUGACGCUGAGGUGCGAAAGCGUGGGGAGCAAACAGG